rnacentral:rRNA from 1 species
AUGCACACCGUCAAGGAGGAGUUUCAUGUUCUUGACUCAAAUUCUAAAGGCGCAAUUAGCCAAAGAAUUCGCAAUAUGAUUGCCACCCUGGCCAACUCAACUCUUGAAUCAAAAAAAUUUCCAGAUGUCUCAUCGUGGCCAAUUAAUGAGUAUAAAAUGCCGAGACAAAACGAUGAAGUGUUUUGUGGACUUUUUGUGAUGUGGUGCAUAAAAUACUGGGACGGAGAUCGCUGGAUACAUGAAUUUGACCAGGAAGAGAUUAAUGAGUCAAGGCCACGUAUUGUCGCGGAAAUUAUUUUUUCAGAGGUGAACAAAUUAGAGAAGGUCAAGAUGAAAAUUGUUAAAAUCUUGGAGAAGGAAUAG